CCUACGUGCGGCAGCAGUGGGGAAUAUUGGACAAUGGGCGAAAGCCUGAUCCAGCCAUGCCGCGUGUGUGAAGAAGGCCUUCGGGUUGUAAAGCACUUUCAGUGGGGAAGAAAGCCUUGGGGCUAAUACCCUCGAGGAAGGACAUCACCCACAGAAGAAGCACCGGCUAACUCCGUGCCAGCAGCCGCGGUAAUACGGAGGGUGCGAGCGUUAAUCGGAAUUACUGGGCGUAAAGCGCGCGUAGGCGGUCUGAUAAGCCGGUUGUGAAAGCCCCGGGCUCAACCUGGGAACGGCAUCCGGAACUGUCAGGCUAGAGUGCAGGAGAGGAAGGUAGAAUUCCCGGUGUAGCGGUGAAAUGCGUAGAGAGCGGGAGGAAUACCAGUGGCGAAGGCGGCCUUCUGGACUGACACUGACGCUGAGGUGCGAAAGCGUGGGUAGCAAACAGGAUUAGAUACCCCUGUAGUC
rnacentral:rRNA from 1 species